GCAGUAAGUAGGUCAUUCAGAAAGAUAAUAAUGUUAAGAGAGAGCGCAGGUUUACUUGUGCUUGUGACACUACUACCGGCUUAUGCACGCGAUACUUCUGGAUCUAAAGAUGACUCUCUGACGGCUUAUAAACGUUUUUUACUGGAUGGAAAUGCUGUACCGGGCGAGUUACUUCUUUAUACAUAUUCUUCGAAACAUACACGUGUAUUAUUCCAUUUUAACUGAUAAAUAAUAGCAAUCAAUUACAACUUAUUUCAGAUUUUCAAAACUUUAUUAUUUUGAAGAAAGUCAUACUAUUAAACACGUAUUCUGUUAUCUAUCAGUCUAUAAAAUGUUUAAUUUUUGUAUUGCAAUACCAUAAGAU